rnacentral:rRNA from 1 species
GACGAACGCUGGCGGCGUGCUUAACACAUGCAAGUCGAACGAUGAAACCUAGCUUGCUAGGUCGAUUAGUGGCGAACGGGUGAGUAACACGUGACUAACCUGCCCCUUUCUCUGGGAUAACGCUCCGAAAGGAGCGCUAAUACCGGAUACUCACACCGAGGCACAUGCCUUGGGGUGGAAAGUUUUUCGGAAAGGGAUGGAGUCGCGGCCUAUCAGCUUGUUGGUGAGGUAACAGCUCACCAAGGCGACGACGGGUAGCCGGCCUGAGAGGGCGACCGGCCGCACUGGGACUGAGACACGGCCCCGACUCCUGCGGGAGGCAGCAGUGGGGAAUAUUGCACAGUGGGCGGAAGCCUGAUGCAGCGACGCCGCGUGAGGGAUGAAGGUCUUCGGAUUGUAAACCUCUUUCAGUAGGGACGAAGCGAAAGUGACGGUACCUAAAGAAGAAGCACCGGCUAACUACGUGCCAGCCGCCGCCGUAA